rnacentral:rRNA from 1 species
AGUCACUGACAUUAGAUACCCCUGUAGUCCAGGGUGUAAACGCUGCAGACUUGGUGUUGAAAGCCCUCUGGGGGCAUUCAGUGCCGGAGAGAAGUUGUUAAGUCUGCUACUUGGGGAGUACGUCCGCAAGGAUGAAACUUAAAGGAAUUGGCGGGGGAGCACCGCAACGGGAGGAGCGUGCGGUUUAAUUGGAUUCAACACCGUAAACUCACCAGGGAAGACUGUUACAUGAAGGCCGAGAUGAAGACUCUGCUAGAUUUUUCAG